rnacentral:rRNA from 1 species
UACGAAGGGGGCAAGCGUUACUCGGAAUUAUUGGGCGUAAAGCGUGCGUAGGCGGCUUAGCAAGUUGGAAGUGAAAGCCUAGGGCUUAACCUUAGAAUUGCUUUCAAAACUGCUCUGCUAGAGUACUAGAGAGGAUAGCGGAAUUCCUAGUGUAGAGGUGAAAUUCGUAGAUAUUAGGAGGAACACCGGUGGCGAAGGCGGGAUCCUGGGCCAGUACUGACGCUGAGGAGCGAAAGCGUGGGGAGCAAACAGG